UUGACACACAGCCGUUUUCAUGAGAACUGUAAGGUCGCUGGAGGUCUUUUUUGUCUUAGAUAAUGGUGUUGAUUUCAAUAAGUCACUACAUUAGUCGGUGCCUCGGUUUCCCUCUCUGUGUCUGCUGUGGCCAUUCUCCCAGGGCAGGGGAAAGGUCGUGAGAUUUGGUGUCAGUCUCCGCCUUGGAUUCCUGUCCCUUUGUGACCUUCUUCAAGCGGCAAGCUCGGCAGUCUCAAAUCAAUUGGUAGCAAUCACUCUUAAUGUGCCUUUGGACUAGAUUGACCUAAGAUUGAAGGUUCACCUCUGUGAAUCACAGUCAUAAAUAUUCAUGGAGCAUCCUUCCUCUCUCCGCACCUCAAUGUGAACUAUCUUCAUUCUUGAGGAGGGAGCCCUAUCACCUUUGAGGUGCCCUCCUGCUGUGAGCAGCCACAGCCGACUUCCAUCGUCCCCUGGUUCCCUGCGUGUCUGUACCAGGCACACUAAUGAAGGAAGAUAGAUAUUGGGGAGUCUGGGGCCAGCCCAAAUGGUGCAGCUGCACAGAAUCAAC